UACGGGGGGGGCAAGCGUUGCUCGGAAUUACUGGGCGUAAAGGGCUCGUAGGCCGCCAACUAAGUCAGACGUGAAAUCCCCAGGCUCAACCUGGGAACUGCGUCUGAUACUGGAUGGCUUGAAUUCGGGAGAGGGAUGCAGAAUUCCAGGUGUAGCGGUGAAAUGCGUAGAUAUCUGGAGGAAUACCGGUGGCGAAGGCGGCAUCCUGGACCGACAUUGACGCUGAUGAGCGAAAGCUAGGGGAGCAAACGGA
rnacentral:rRNA from 1 species